UACGUAGGGUGCGAGCGUUGUCCGGAAUUAUUGGGCGUAAAGGGCACGUAGGCGGAUUGCUAAGUCAGGGGUGAAAUCCUGGAGCUCAACUCCAGAACUGCCUUUGAUACUGGCGACCUUGAGUCCGGGAGAGGUGAGUGGAACUGCGAGUGUAGAGGUGAAAUUCGUAGAUAUUCGCAAGAACACCAGUGGCGAAGGCGGCUCACUGGCCCGGUACUGACGCUGAGAAACGAAAGCCAGGGUAGCAAACGGG
rnacentral:rRNA from 1 species